UACGUAGGGUGCCAGCGUUGUCCGGAAUUAUUGGGCGUAAAGAGCUCGUAGGCGGUUUGUCGCGUCUGCUGUGAAAUCUGGGGGCUCAACCCCCAGCCUGCAGUGGGUACGGGCAGACUAGAGUGCGGUAGGGGAGAUUGGAAUUCCUGGUGUAGCGGUGGAAUGCGCAGAUAUCAGGAGGAACACCGAUGGCGAAGGCAGAUCUCUGGGCCGUAACUGACGCUGAGGAGCGAAAGCAUGGGGAGCGAACAGG
rnacentral:rRNA from 1 species